rnacentral:rRNA from 1 species
UACGGAGGGUGCAAGCGUUAUCCGGAUUCACUGGGUUUAAAGGGUGCGUAGGAGGGCAGGUAAGUCAGUGGUGAAAUCCUAGAGCUUAACUCUAGAACUGCCGUUGAUACUAUCUGUCUUGAAUAUUGUGGAGGUGAGCGGAAUAUGUCAUGUAGCGGUGAAAUGCUUAGAUAUGACAUAGAACACCAAUUGCGAAGGCAGCUCGCUACACGUAUAUUGACUCUGAGGCACGAAAGCGUGGGGAUCAAACAGG